AGUCGUAACAAGGUUUCCGUAGGUGAACCUGCGGAAGGAUCAUUACCGAGUGAGGGCCCUCUGGGUCCAACCUCCCACCCGUGUUUAACGAACCUUGUUGCUUCGGCGGGCCCGCCUCACGGCCGCCGGGGGGCAUCCGCCCCCGGGCCCGCGCCCGCCGAAGACACCUGUGAACACUGUCUGAAGUUGCAGUCUGAGAAACUAGCUAAAUUAGUUAAAACUUUCAACAACGGAUCUCUUGGUUCCGGCAUCGAUGAAGAACGCAGCGAAAUGCGAUAAAUAAUGUGAAUUGCAGAAUUCAGUGAAUCAUCGAGUCUUUGAACGCACAUUGCGCCCUCUGGUAUUCCGGAGGGCAUGCCUGUCCGAGCGUCAUUGCUGCCCUCAAGCACGGCUUGUGUGUUGGGCCCUCGUCCCCCCCACCGGGGGGACGGGCCCGAAAGGCAGCGGCGGCACCGCGUCCGGUCCUCGAGCGUAUGGGGCUCUGUCACCCGCUCUUGUAGGCCCGGCCGGCGCCAGCCGACCCCCCUCAAUCUAUUUUUUCAGGUUGACCUCGGAUCAGGUAGGGAUACCCGCUGAACUUAAGCAUAUCAAUAAGCGGAGGAA
rnacentral:misc_RNA from 1 species